rnacentral:lncRNA from 1 species
CACCUCCCGGGUUCAAGCAAUUCUCCUGCCUCAGUCUCCCCAGUAGCUAGGAUUACAGGCAGCCACCACCACACCUAGCUAAGUUUUUGUAUUUUUAGUAGAGAGGGAGUUGGCCAGGUUGGUCUUGAACUCCUGACUUCAGGUAUCCACUCUCCUUGACCUCCCAAGUUCUGAGAUUACAGGCAAGAGCCAUCGUGCCAGGCCAAAGCUAAGAAAUUCUAAGCAUAAAAAUGCAUUAUAGAUGGUGCUUGGGGCUGAAAUAAACACAAAGUAAACAAGUGGACGUUUAUUUUUAUAAGAAUAAAUUAAAUAUUUUUUCUGUGUUAUUGAAGAAUAUCUGAUAUAGGUUAGCUAUUGAGAAGUUUACCAUAAAUUCUGAUUAAUUAAUGUAUAGGCUAUACAGGAGCUCUAAAAAAAAAGCCAAAUCAAGUGCUAGAGCUUAUUCAUGAAACGGUUUCAAAAUUGGGCUUAUAAAAAUGCUUCUUUGUGAAACUGUUUGUAGAUAUGAAAGAAAACCCUGUUAGAAUUCAUUCUUAAGACAUUAGAUUAUCUCUAUAUGUAGAACUAGUUCUGCAUAUUUUGUCUGAACUAAGAAGUUAUUUAGAAGGUUAAAAUAAAAUGUUAUUAUGGAAAGUGAGCAAAAAUUUGAGAUUAUCAGGUAAAUUUCUUAGUAGUACGGUUUAGAGAAACAUUUAUUGAAUGCCUGAAAAAGUGGAAACAGAAGAAGAGUGAGGCACAAAACACUCAACGGGUGCAGUUGACAGAAAAAAAUGCUGAAAAGCCAACUUCAUCUUUUGCAGUUAUGCCCUAUGGUAUCUGGAAGCUAUCUGGAAACAUUGUUUUGCUUUGGUAGUGUAACUGAAAGAGUCCUGGAAUUGGAAAACAAAAUCCAGAAGUUGAGUUCCAUGGCUUUUUUGCUGUUUGUCUUUGGGUGCUGACUCCUCUAGAAGUCAUUCAAGUCAUGAGCUGUAUCCUAAGGGAGUAAGGAACUUGUUCCAGACAGCAUAGAGAGAAGUCACCAUUCCUCUUUUCUUUAAUGUGGCUCUCCCAAGGUGUGUAACGUCUUGCAAUUCGCCAUUCUCCAAGACAUGAAUAUGAAUCCUGAGUUUCCAGGCAUGAGCGGGAAGGAUUCGCUUUCCUAGU